UACGGGGGGAGCAAGCGUUGUUCGGAUUUACUGGGCGUAAAGGGCGCGUAGGCGGCGUGACAAGUCACUUGUGAAAUCUCCGGGCUUAACUCGGAACGGUCAAGUGAUACUGUCGGACUAGAGUACAGAAGGGGCAACUGGAAUUCUCGGUGUAGCGGUGAAAUGCGUAGAUAUGCGGAGGAACACCGAUGGCGAAGGCAAUCCCCUGGGCCUGCACUGACGCUCAUGCACGAAAGCGUGGGGAGCAAACAGG
rnacentral:rRNA from 1 species